UAUAUUUUAGUGUAUGGUGCACGUGAAUUUUUGAUGUUUAAGGUGUCAGUUUGACUCUGUCAGGUAUAG
rnacentral:tRNA from 1 species